rnacentral:lncRNA from 1 species
CUAAGUUGUUUUUAUGUUUUUAUUUUUUAUUUAACUUCUUUGCAGAUUGAAAAGUUUAAAGAUUGCAAAAGUAAUAACAAAAAGACAAAAUGGACUUUUUUUCGAUUAUUAGGAGAAAUUGUUUUUAUAAACGAUUUACAUCAUGUAGCAAGAAUUUGUUGUUUUUCAAAAGAAAAUAAAAAUAAGGAUAAAUUGAAUUAUUUAUAUUUUGUUUACUAUAAAAACAAGCCAAGGUUCAUUAAAAAAAAUGGAAUAUUAGAAGAAAAAGUAACAAACGCUUUAUUUAUUUUAUAUAAUGUACAAAAAUAUAUUUAUAACAUUUAUGAUGACCAUGUAAAUAAGCUAGCUGUAAAAGCUUUAGCAAAAGACGACGAUGAUGUGCACAGGCAACAGAAACAUUCUGGUGAUCAUGUUCUAAAAGAAAAAAAAAAAAAAAAAAAAAAAAAUCUAAACCAAAAUCAAGAUAAGCAGAGUAGUGAUAUUGAUAUAAAUAAUAAAUCUACUUAUACAUCCACUAGUAAAUUAGAGUAUGAUGAAAAUUCAGAAAUCAAUAACUUUUUAAAUCAGCAACAAAUUAACGCUUUUGUUAAAGGGAAAACAAAUAAGGUAAUUAAUAAAAGUGAAAAUAUAUUAGAAGAGUUGAAUGAAUUUUAUUCUUUUCAAAACAGGUCGAUAAGUGCAAAUAAUAUUAGUAGUAACAGUAGUAGUAAUAGUAGUAGUGACGACAAUAGGGAUAGUAAAAAGAAUAUACACAGACAAGACAAUAAUGAAUUAACAUAUUACGAUUUUACAGAAAACAAAAUAUACCAAUCCUUAAAUAUGAGAAGUAUACUUAAUUUUAUUAACAAAUACCAUAUAUAUAGUGAAGAGAUAGAUAGCUAUGACACGGAUAGUAGUAAUAAUAGUAGUAGUAAUAAUAAAAAAGAAGAGAGUAGAAAAAAAAAAAAAAAAAAAAUACAUAUAUUAUUUUUUUCGAUAAUUUUAUUAUAUACCUAUAUCGUUUCAGUUAUUAAUAAAAGUAUAUAUAAUAUAAUUAACGUAUUUGAUCUUGUAAAAAAAAAAAUUAUUCCUAAUAAAAAAAUAUAUAUAUUAAAUUUAAUUAAAGAACGUUCUUAUAUGUAUUCUAGGUUCCAUAUAUUAUUAAAUAAUUUAGUUGAACGUAAAAAUACUUUAAAGUAUUAUGAAAAUAAACAAAUCUUAUGUAUUCGAUUGUUUAGUUUAUUUUAUGAUGAAUAUUUGGGUAUUAUGCUAUAUUUUAUAUUUUCUUAUAAUAUAAUUAACUUGGGUGAUAUGCACGAUACAAUUAAAAUAUUUUAUGACAUGAAUACGUUAACGUAA